UACGUAGGGGGGCUAGCGUUGUCCGGAUUUAUUGGGCGUAAAGAGCGUGUAGGCGGCCAGGUAGGUCUGCUGUGAAAACUCGAGGCUCAACCUCGAGACGUCGGCGGAAACCAUCUGGCUAGAGUCCGGAAGAGGAGAGUGGAAUUCCUGGUGUAGCGGUGAAAUGCGCAGAUAUCAGGAGGAACACCGGUGGCGAAGGCGGAUCUCUGGGCCUGUCCUGACGCUGAGGCGCGAAAGCUAGGGGGAGCGAACAGG
rnacentral:rRNA from 1 species